UGAUCAUGGAGUCAAAGCACAAGGUGAUGGAUGGUUACUAACAAGCUUUAAUUGAAGGAGAGAAUUUUGCGUAUGUAAUUCAGAUGGGCUUUCAGACCCUUAUGUGGUUUUCACACGUGAUAGGAAAACUAGAACAGGCUCUGUCAAGCUUCAAGAAGAAAAGCAAUGGGCUUAUCUCCAAGCUCUAGCACAAGCCUUGUGUUAUGAGAUGAUCACUGUCAAUGGAAACACUGUCAUCUGGAAAAAGCCUUCUGAGGAUUCUUGUCUGCCUAGUAAAAAUGAAUUUGGGCUUGAUCUUUGUACUGAUCAAGAUGAUGAUCCGAGUGAUGCAUGAAAUCUAUAAUUCAACAAGCUGGAAUAAUGCAAAUUGGUUAACUUGUAGAGGUGGGGCAGGAUCAGCUCCUAAUUUCUCUGCAUAUUGGAAUGGGCAUCCUGAGUAUGCGGUAUAUUCGGCAAUGUCUUUCCUUGUCGUGACUCAAGAUCUUAAGCAAAAUAAAUCGGGUCUUCUCGGGUUACAUGAGGCUAGAGCGCAAGGAAACAGUUUGGAGAGCAGUUUAUAGAGAAGGCCAGGUGUUGUCCCAUGCAACUGGAAAUGAUUCCUGCUGAUAGCUAUUAAAAGGCAUUGAAUUAGGAGUAGAGGGAAAUCUCUACAGAGGGAAGCUUCCUCCCAAGACAUGGUCAGGAAGAUUCAAGAGGCAGCUCUCAAACUUGCAUAAGAAAGCAACAGAAAGCAGAACCUGGUGCAUAGUGUUAUUUGUGAAACCAAUGCUAAUGUUAUGUAACAGUUUAAUGUAGUUUUGAAAACUUUAAAUAGACUGUUAACUGUUUUGUUGGUAUUGUGUUUUUACAAUUGUUUU